GACGAACGCUGGCGGCGUGCUUAACACAUGCAAGUCGAACGGUGAGGUAGAGCCUGCUCUAUGGAUCAGUGGCGAACGGGUGAGUAACACGUGGGCAACCUGCCCCAGACUCUGGGAUAACUCCUCGAAAGAGGGGCUAAUACCGGAUAUUUGCAUUGCAAGACAUCUUGUGAUGCAGAAAGAAUUUCGGUCUGGGAUGGGCCCGCGGCCUAUCAGCUUGUUGGUGAGGUAACGGCUCACCAAGGCGACGACGGGUAGCCGGCCUGAGAGGGGGACCGGCCACACUGGGACUGAGACACGGCCCAGACUCCUACGGGAGGCAGCAGUGGGGAAUAUUGGGCAAUGGGCGCAAGCCUGACCCAGCAACGCCGCGUGAGGGAUGAAGGUCCUCGGAUUGUAAACCUCUUUCAGCAGGGACGAAGCGAAAGUGACGGUACCUGCAGAAGAAGCACCGGCUAACUACGUGCCAGCCGCCGCCGUAA
rnacentral:rRNA from 1 species